CGCUCCCAUAUAAAGAGGAUAACGGUUCCAACAAACAUAUCGAUAGCAAAGUAAGCUCCGAUGUAGAAUGGAACAGCCAUGGCCAUUGGAAUCGGGAUGAAUUGUGCGAUUUUCUUUGGAACGACGUCCCUCAAAAGGUUCACUAAGAACGCUGCCACAAAAAACCCACAACACAUAGCCAGACAAUGCUUAGGGAGCUCUGAAAAGCCCUCAACACCUAGAAUGGCCAUUUCUCUAAAUAUUACAGCAUAAGGGGCUUUGUAUGGACUAUCAGGUAAUCCGAUAUCAAAAGCACUCCAAAAUAACCAAAAUGUUAGGGGAGCAAUCACACAGCCCAUGGCUGUCCCUACUAGCUGACUUACAAACAUAGACUUGGCUGAAGAAAGUGUAAGAUAACCCGUCUUGAAGUCUUGCAUAAGAUCAGCAGCUGUUGAAACAAUAGACAUCAUAACUCCGCAAGCAGCUAAUCCAGCAAUAACUCCACCAUUGUCUCCGACUAAAGAAG
rnacentral:misc_RNA from 1 species